CCACACUGGAACUGAACACGGUCCAAACUCCUACGGGAGGCANCAGUGGGGAAUAUUGCACCAAUGGGGGGAACCCUGAUGCACCAUGCCGCGUGAAUGAAGAAGCCUUCGGGUUGUAAAGUUCUUUCGGUGAUGAGGAAGUGUUUUGUUUAAUAACAAGGCAAUUGACGUUAGUCACAGAAGAAGCACCGGCUACUCGUGCCAGCAGCCCGCGGUUAAUACGGAGGGUGCAGCGUUAAUCGGAAUAACUGGGCUAAAGGGCACGCAGCGAUUUGUAUGAAUUUGAAACCCCAGCUUUAACUUUGGGAAUUGCAUUUCCAAACUGCAGUCUAAAGUAUUUUAAGGAGGGGUAGAUUCACCGUUGAACGUAAAUGCGUAAAUUUGAAGAAUACCAAAGGCAAGCCAACCCCUUUGGAAAUANNUUACGCUCAUGUGAAAAGCGUGGGAACAACCAGAAUUAGAUACCCUUGGUAGUCCACCUGUAACGAUGUUGAUUUGGGGAUUGGCCUUUAAGCUUGGUGCCCGUAGCUAACGUGAUAAAUCACCGCUGGGAAGUACGCCGCAAGGUUAAAACUCAAAUGAAUUGACGGGGGCCCGCACAACGGUGAGCAUGUGGUUUAAUUCGAUGCAACGCGAAGACCUUACUACUCUUGACAUCCAAAGAAGGCCGUAGANAUAUGGCUGUNCCUUCGGGAACUUUNANACAGGUGCUGCAUGNCUGUCGUCAGCUCGUGUUGUGAAAUGUUGGGUUAAGUCCCGCAACGAGCGCAACCCUUAUCCUUUGUUNCCAGCNAUUAGGUCGGGAACUCAAAGNAGACUGCCAGUGAUAAACUGAAGGAAGGUGGGNAUGACGUCAAGUCAUCAUGGCCCUUACGAGUAGGGCUACACACGUGCUNCAAUGGUGCAUCCANAGGGUAGCNACCCACCAUGGUAAGCCAAUCUCAGAAAGUGCAUAAAGUCCGGAUUGAANUUNUGCAACUCGNCCCACAUAAAGUCG
rnacentral:rRNA from 1 species